rnacentral:ncRNA from 1 species
AACACGAUAGGCGAUGGAGUUCGCCAUAACCGCCCUUUGGGCUGAUGACUCCUACCAGUUU